rnacentral:rRNA from 1 species
CAGCUCAGUGAAAUUUCUAUCCGCUCAUCGGAUUACCUAUUUGGUGGGGUAAUGGCUCACCAAGGCGACAAUCCGUAACUGGUCUGAAAGGAUGAUCACUCACACUGGAACUGAAACACGGUCCAAACUCCUACGGGAGGCAUCAUUGGGGAAUAUUGAACAAUGGCCCAAAGCCUGAUCCAGCCAUGCCGCGUGUGUGAAAAAGGCCUUCGGAUUGUAAAGCACUUUAAGUUGGGAGGAAGG